rnacentral:rRNA from 1 species
AUCUAUGGCCAUGCCACCCUGAACAAGCCGCAUCCCAUCUGAUCUCAGAAGCUAAGCAGUGUCGGGCCUGGUUAGUACUUGGAUGGGAGACCACCUAGGAAGACCAGGUGCUGUAGGCG